rnacentral:rRNA from 1 species
GGCCACUGCUAUUGGGAUCCGACUAAGCCAUGCGAGUCGAGAGGGUUCGGCCCUCGGCAGACUGCUCAGUAACACGUGGAUAAUCUACCCUUAGGUGGAGGAUACUCUCGGGAAACUGAGAAUAAUACUCCAUAGGUCUAGGAUGCUGGAAUGCACCUAGGUUGAAAGUUCCGGCGCCUAAGGACGAGUCUGCGGACUAUCAGGUAGUAGUCAGGGUAAAGACCUGACUAGCCUACGACGGAUACGGGUUGUGAGAGCAAUAGCCCGGAGACGAUAUCUGAGACACGAUAUCGGGCCCUACGGGGCGCAGCAGGCGCGAAAUCUUCACAAUGUGCGAAAGCACGAUGAGGGGAUCCCAAGUGUUGGCUCGUAAGAGUCAUCUGUUUCUUUGUCUAAAAAACAGAGAGAGUAAGAGCUGGGUAAGACGGGUGCCAGCCGCCGCGGUAAUACCUGCAGCUCAAGUGGUGGCCGCUAUUAUUGGGCCUAAAACGUCCGUAGCCGGUUUAGUAAAUGCCUGGGUAAAUUGUGUAGCUCAACUAUACGAAUACCGGGUAGACUGCUAAACUUGGAACCGGGAGAGGCUAGAGGUACUCCUAGGGUAGAGGUGAAAUUCUGUAAUCCUAGGGGGACCACCAGUGGCGAAGGCGUCUAGCUAGAACGGGUUUGACGGUGAGGGACGAAGCCCUGGGGCGCAAACCGGAUUAGAUACCCGGGUAGUCCAGGGUGUAAACGCUGCUCGCUUGAUGUUAGUCGGGCUCCGAGCCCAACUAGUGUCGGAGAGAAGUUGUUAAGCGAGCUGCCUGGGAAGUACGGUCGCAAGGCUGAAAC